CCUACGGGUGGCAGCAGUGAGGAAUAUUGGUCAAUGGCCGGAAGGCUGAACCAGCCAAGCCGCGUGAGGGAGGAAGGCGCAGAGCGUCGCAGACCUCUUUUGCCGGGGGACAAAAGGCCGGACUCGUCCGGUCCUGAGGGUACCCGGAGAAAAAGCAUCGGCUAACUCCGUGCCAGCAGCCGUGGUAAUACGGAGGAUGCGAGCGUUAUCCGGAUUUAUUGGGUUUAAAGGGUGCGCAGGCGGUCUGUUAAGUCAGCGGUCAAAGCCCGGGGCUCAACCCCGGCCCGCCGUUGAAACUGGCAGUCUCGAGUUGGAGAGAAGUAUGCGGAAUGCGCGGUGUAGCGGUGAAAUGCAUAGAUAUCGCGCAGAACUCCGAUUGCGAAGGCAGCAUGCCGGCUCCACACUGACGCUGAGGCACGAAAGCGUGGGUAUCGAACAGGAUUAGAUACCCCAGUAGUC
rnacentral:rRNA from 1 species